GUUUAAAGUAAUAAUACUGAACAUGCCCAAUCUCGUCUGAUCUCGGAAGCUAAGUAGGGUUGGGCCUCGUUAGUACUUGGAUGGGAAACCACAGGAAGACCAGCUGCUGUAGGCA
rnacentral:rRNA from 1 species